rnacentral:lncRNA from 1 species
UGGACUCCAACUUGUUAAAAAACGAUCAAAUAAUUUACAGAACAAGCCAAGUGGAUCAAGCGAUGUAGAUUUGCAAGCAUCAAACAAGAAUUCUGUUUCAGAUAAGGUUUGUCUACUUAAAUACUCUUUAGAACUUGUCAUUAGUGAGCUUUAAGUUGUUGUGCUUGCACUUUUUGCAGUUGCAUACACAAUACCCAAAAUUUGAUGUGUAUCAUUUUUUCCUAGAACAAAGAAACUAUGGUUCAUAAUGGUGGCAGUGCACGGCAACUAGAAAAAUGUUCUGUUGCACACAAGGUAUCAUCAUAGUCCUAUAUACAAAAUAAUGAUCAAACUAUAGUGCUCCCAUUUGUAUGUGUUUACCUGUUGCUAUCAGAAUGUUGUCCAGAACCAAGAAACUUAUGAUCAUAAUUUCAGUGCUUUGCAAGGGGAAAUAAAUUCUGCUGCACAUAAGGUAUAUUUCCGUUACCAUAUACAAUAUGUUCAAAAUACAUUGCUCCGAUGGUUAUGUAUCUACUGGCCGUCUUGCUAUCAGAAUGCUGUUCAGAACAAAGAAACUUUGCUUGAGACUGUCAGUGCACGUUAGGGAGAAAAAACUUCUGCUGCAAACAAACUAGUAUCUUUUCAUAAUCACAUACACAUUUCUGUUCAAACUAUAAUGUUGGCUUGUUUAUUUGCUUAUUACUUCUUCUUUGCUAUCAGACUGUUGUCGAGACCAAAAAAAACAACAAAAAGGUGCUAAUGCAAGCACUAAGAGUGCUCAUUGUGGUUCCCUGAGCUGGUUGGGUGCUAGUGAAUUAUCUGUAAGAGUGCUCAUUCAUUUGUUUCUAUUUUUUUCAUAUGGUUACUUUGAUUUUCUCUAACAGCCAGGAACUAAAGUAUUCUUGAAGAGCCUAAAAACCCAUAACAGGGAUGUAGCUCUUGCUACAAUUGUAAGUUGUGAUCCUGAAUUUAACCUUGAUGGUGCUGAAAUUAGGAAUGAAUUCUGGGCGGUGCAUGUUGAUAUGGCACUUGUGAAAACUGAAUAUUUGGUGGGGAGUCGCGAAAACUGUAAUACUCUCGGUAAUGUAGAAAAAACAAAAAUUGCAUGGCCCUCAACCUUUGUACAUGACUAAUAUCUUGCCUCUGUUAUUACUUGCAUCAUGUCAAUGCAUUGUUUGUUAACAGUCCAUUUUGUUUUCUUUUUUUGUAGAUUCAAAAGAUAAAUGGAUGAGUAUAUGGGUGCGUGUCAAGUGUACUACAACGAUGAUGUUGAUGUUCUGCCUCAUGAUGGUGACAAUGAUGGAUGCUUCCAGUUUUAGUUAUGUUGUGGGGAUGACCUUCCUGUUGGAUGUCGUUCCUCGAUCAAGUUUUAGUUAAGUUGUAGGGAUGUUGAUGGAUUCUUUCAGUUAAAUUUCACUGUCAAGAAAAUAGUUAGAUUAUGCUUCACAUUUGGAUGAUGUUCCUUUUGUAAUAUCCACUAUUGUAAUCCAACAAUUUUAUCUCAUAUAUGAUAUAUGAUUUCUUCCUCUUG